CAAGAUAAGCUCAUACAUCUUUAUAAUUUAAUGACCUGUACCUGAAACCGACACAGGUAGGUUGGUAGAGAAUACCAAGGGGCGCGAGAGAACUCACUCUAAGGAACUCGGCAAACUGGCCCCGUAACUUCGGAAGAAGGGGCACCCAUCCGUAACAAGGUGGGUCGCAGUGACCAGGCCCAGGCGACUGUUUACCAAAAACACAGGUGUCCGCAAAGUCGUAAGACAAUAUAUGGGGGCUGACGCCUGCCCAGUGCCGGAAGGUUAAGGAAGUUGGUUAUUUCGUAAGAAAAAAGCUGACGACCGAAGCCCCGGUGAACGGCGGUCGUAACUAUAACGAUCCUAAGGUAGCGAAAUUCAUUGUCGAGUAAGUUUCGACCUGCACGAAAGGCGUAACGAUCUGGGCGCUGUCU
rnacentral:rRNA from 1 species